UACGUAGGGUGCAAGCGUUAAUCGGAAUUACUGGGCGUAAAGCGUGCGCAGGCGGUUUUGUAAGUUUGUCGUGAAAUCCCCCGGGCUCAACCUGGGAAUGGCGAUGAAGACUGCAAGGCUAGAAUCUGGCAGAGGGGGGUAGAAUUCCACGUGUAGCAGUGAAAUGCGUAGAGAUGUGGAGGAACACCGAUGGCGAAGGCAGCCCCCUGGGUCAAGAUUGACGCUC
rnacentral:rRNA from 1 species